ACGAUAACUUCAACACGGCUUGUGGGGCCGACGCUGCUCUAUACUGGCUCCUCCUCCUAUAGCCGUUGUUCACCCAGUUACCGUUACGUGUAAUCAAAAUUUGAAAUGGGCUAAUCUGUAUGACAGACUGUAUCGGUACAAGUAAUUGUAACUUACGAAUAUGGGCGAAUGUUUUACAACAACACUGCUCAGAUUAUGAGGGAUAACCUCAGACUUAUUCAAACAUAUCUCCUAAACUCAC
rnacentral:lncRNA from 1 species